rnacentral:rRNA from 1 species
UACGUAGGACACAAGCGUUAUCCGAAGUUACUGGGCGUAAAGGGCGUGUAGGCGGAGAUGUAAGUCUAUUCUGAAAGCUCCUGGCUAAACUGGGAGAGGCGAAUGGAGACUGCAUAUCUAGAGUGAGGAAGAGGAAAGUGGAAUUCCGCGUGUAGUGGUGAAAUGCGUAGAGAUGCGGAGGAACACCAGUGGCGAAAGCGACUUCCUGGUCCUUAACUGACGCUGAGGCGCGAAAAGCAUGGGGAGCGAACGGG